rnacentral:lncRNA from 1 species
AAAGGAAAAGCAACGCCUCACUCUCACCCGGUCACCUCCUUCCCCCAACACCCCUCUCUCAUUCGUGAAUGCCACACUCAUCUCAUCCCCUUCUAAAGCAAAGUUCACAAUACUGACAAACCAAAACCCUAGCCUCCUCCUCAAUGAUUCUACUACCGCCGUGCGUGGUUGUUGGCGCCUCCGUGGGUUCCUCCUUCCCCCUUUCCCGAGCCAAAACCCAGGACCUCUAUUCUAGCGCGGCACGUCAUCCCCAUCCCUGGCUUCUUUGUUCAAGCCUUGGAGCAGCUCGCCGUCGUCUCGUCGCCGUUUCGUUUACAACCCAGAAAAAAGAAACAAAGCUUCGG